ensembl:lncRNA
GUGGAGCGGUGAGAGCAGAGAGAGAGAGGUGGAGCGGUGAGAGCAGAGAGAGAGAGGUGGAGCGGUGAGAGAAGAGAGAGAGAGAGCGGUGAGAGCAGAGAGAGAGUUGGAGCGGUGAGAGCAGAGAGAGAGAGAGUUGGAGCGGUGAGAGCAGAGAGAGAGAGUUGGAGCGGUGAGAGCAGAGAGAGAGAGAGUGGAGCGGUGAGAGCAGAGAGAGAGAGGAGGAGCGGUGAGAGCAGAGAGAGAGAGAGGUGGAGCGGUGAGAGCAGAGAGAGAGACACUGGACACUGAAUCAGCUCACAUUAAGGCACUGCAGGAAAAAAAUAAAUGGGGUGUUAUUCAGUUUCACAGUGAACAGAGGAGCCGGCAGAAAAAAAGAAAACGCUUCCCCGAUGAGACUGAAGAUGACAUAGCAAACGAACAGAAGUCAGACACUGGAUUUUGCUAAACACAGUGUUUUAUGUGGCUCUGGAUAGUAUAAUCAGUCAUUUGCACAUGCGGUUCCAC